rnacentral:lncRNA from 1 species
UCCGAGAAGUGCUCAACGGUUUCGGUUUGUUUUCGUAGAUUACAGGCUGUCUGACGUCUGUUUCCGAAGACGAGUCUUUUUUCUGUAGUUUCAUUUAUGUACUUUUAUCACGUUUGUGCCGCGCUUCAUUAUUUUAACCAUUUUAAUAAUCCCGUUAAGUUUUUAUUUCGAUUUCCGUGUCCUUUUCCGCCUUUCUAAUCUUUGGAUAAUAACUUAGUUCGUAAACUUCAUCGAAUUCGUCUCUAUCAAUAAUAACUUUUGCAGUGUUUGUAUCAUCGUACCAUUCAGGAGUGCAGGUAUUCAGUGACAUGACUUCAAGCCCAGAAUUCAACAAAACUAUGACAACUCAGGACACCAAUUCAGUGGAUGGUAAGACCUUUCUUUCACUUUUCCCAAGCACAUUUUGAUUGAGUCUUACAUUAAUUUCAAGCUGUCUUAGAUGUACUGUAUUUACAUCAGCAAUCAAGGCUCACUUUGAACAUUUAGAGUGUCUAUCAAAGACUCGCACAGCCAUUCUUUUUGUUUUUGUGGAACAACGCAAUGUUAGAUACUAAGAGUACCGCACCAAAAUUAUUUUUGUGAUUUUAUUUAUUAAUAAUGUGCUGAACCCAACUCUGCAUCUAGCAGAUCUUCAACAUUAGCGCUCCGUCUACUUUUGAACUAAUGCCCAUCUUAUCUCAGGGACUUGCAAUUUCUCAUGAAAUUUUUUGUUAACAGCUGAUCUUCAACAAAAAUUUUUUAGCAAUAUUUAAUUUAUCAUGUGCUAUAUGAAUCGGUGCUGUAUGUUUUGUUGCUCUAUUGCACUCAGUAAGUCUGUGCCAGGGUUUUAAAGUCAGUACUUAUGUUUUAUAACCAUGAUACAUAUUGUGACCAGAACUGUAUUCUAAGCUUUCCUGCAAUCUACUGUUUUUCUUUAGUUUAAGGUUAGCUAUUAAUUAUUAUACAGCCAUACAGCCUCACUCAAAGCUUUUGAGAACUCUGCGUCUCGAACAGUUUAAUCAUGAGAACUGAGCUAUUACUUUGUGACAUUCAUUUACUGAAAUAUCUA